ACUGAGAGAUCAUGCUGAUAGUAACAUUGUUAUCAUGCUCGUGGGCAAUAAGAGUGAUCUGCGUCAUCUCAGGGCAGUUCCUACAGAUGAAGCAAGAGCUUUUGCAGGUUAGUGAUAGGAAUUCCAUGAUAUUUC
rnacentral:miRNA from 1 species